rnacentral:sRNA from 1 species
AAUCAAAAUACAGGCCGAAGACAGCAGGCGUCCCAUGCGGACUUAAUUUCCUGCCGAGGUGAAUGCAAGCUUAUUAAGCAAGCUCUCAUCCUUUGUCUUAGGCAAAGGAUUUUCAUUUU